UUUACAUUUGAGUGAGUGGCGAACUGGUGAGUAACACGUGGGAAACCUGCCCAGAAGCGGGGGAUAACACCUGGAAACAGAUGCUAAUACCGCAUAACAACUUGGACCGCAUGGUCCGAGCUUGAAAGAUGGCUUCGGCUAUCACUUUUGGAUGGUCCCGCGGCGUAUUAGCUAGAUGGUGGGGUAACGGCUCACCAUGGCAAUGAUACGUAGCCGACCUGAGAGGGUAAUCGGCCACAUUGGGACUGAGACACGGCCCAAACUCCUACGGGAGGCAGCAGUAGGGAAUCUUCCACAAUGGACGAAAGUCUGAUGGAGCAACGCCGCGUGAGUGAAGAAGGGUUUCGGCUCGUAAAACUCUGUUGUUAAAGAAGAACAUAUCUGAGAGUAACUGUUCAGGUAUUGACGGUAUUUAACCAGAAAGCCACGGCUAACUACGUGCCAGCAGCCGCGGUAAUACGUAGGUGGCAAGCGUUGUCCGGAUUUAUUGGGCGUAAAGCGAGCGCAGGCGGUUUUUUAAGUCUGAUGUGAAAGCCUUCGGCUCAACCGAAGAAGUGCAUCGGAAACUGGGAAACUUGAGUGCAGAAGAGGACAGUGGAACUCCAUGUGUAGCGGUGAAAUGCGUAGAUAUAUGGAAGAACACCAGUGGCGAAGGCGGCUGUCUGGUCUGUAACUGACGCUGAGGCUCGAAAGUAUGGGUAGCAAACAGGAUUAGAUACCCUGGUAGUCCAUACCGUAAACGAUGAAUGCUAAGUGUUGGAGGGUUUCCGCCCUUCAGUGCUGCAGCUAACGCAUUAAGCAUUCCGCCUGGGGAGUACGGCCGCAAGGCUGAAACUCAAAGGAAUUGACGGGGGCCCGCACAAGCGGUGGAGCAUGUGGUUUAAUUCGAAGCUACGCGAAGAACCUUACCAGGUCUUGACAUACUAUGCAAAUCUAAGAGAUUAGACGUUCCCUUCGGGGACAUGGAUACAGGUGGUGCAUGGUUGUCGUCAGCUCGUGUCGUGAGAUGUUGGGUUAAGUCCCGCAACGAGCGCAACCCUUAUUAUCAGUUGCCAGCAUUAAGUUGGGCACUCUGGGUG
rnacentral:rRNA from 2 species